UACGAAGGGGGCUAGCGUUGCUCGGAAUCACUGGGCGUAAAGCGCACGUAGGCGGACUCUUAAGUCGGGGGUGAAAUCCUGGAGCUCAACUCCAGAACUGCCUUCGAUACUGAGAGUCUUGAGUCCGGGAGAGGUGAGUGGAACUGCGAGUGUAGAGGUGAAAUUCGUAGAUAUUCGCAAGAACACCAGUGGCGAAGGCGGCUCACUGGCCCCGG
rnacentral:rRNA from 1 species